CCUACGUGCGGCAGCAGUGGGGAAUAUUGCACAAUGGGGGAAACCCUGAUGCAGCGACGCCGCGUGAGUGAAGAAGUAUUUCGGUACGUAAAGCUCUAUCAGCAGGGAAGAAACUGACGGUACCUGACUAAGAAGCCCCGUCUAACUACGUGCCAGCAGCCGCGGUAAUACGUAGGGGGCAAGCGUUCUCCGGAGUUACGGGGUGAAACGGGAGCGUAGGCGGCAGCUCAAGUCUGGAGUGAAAUCCCAUGGCUUAAACAUGGAACGGCUUUGGAAACUGUGCAGCUAGAGUGCAGGAGAGGGAAGCAGAAUUCCUAGUGUAGCGGUGAAAUGCGUAGAUAUUAGGAGGAACACCAGUGGCGAAGGCGGCUUACUGGACUGUAACUGACGUUGAGGCUCGAAAGCGUGGGGAGCAAACAGGAUUAGAUACCCCAGUAGUC
rnacentral:rRNA from 1 species